GCCCUGGAUUCAGGCCACAGCUCUCAGCCACGCACAUGACCGCCUCUUGGCAGCUGAGUAGCAACAGAGACACCACCGAGAAGCAUUCUGUCCCCUGGCAGCACAAACUAGAGGCCCUGCAGGACGCUGAGAUAAAAAGGCCUCUCAGCACUGCUUCCUUUGCUCUCCAGGCAAAGGUAGUGCAACUUCCCCGUGCGAGUUGAUUUUUAAGAUCCUAGGUCGGUCCCCCAACACUUCACUGAAUGAUCGACUUGUCAGCUAAUUUGAUUGUUUUCCCUCUUGACAUUUGCAAGACAUAGAUUUUUCUGUGUUCUUUCUCUCCUCUGCCUACUUUGCCCCCUUGGAGGCUGUCUGGGAAGGUAUAUUUCCCUCCACACUGUUAGGAAAGACAGGGGGUGGGGAGGUGAUACUCCCAGCAGUCAUUUGUACCUAAAAAUAAGUAAAUCAAGCUAAUAUGCUAGAGAUUCAGAGAGAGCAUCGGAAGGUUACUCACCUGUGCAGGGAAAUUGGUUGAGGCAUUUCCAUUUUCCUCUCAACAGGGUAUAUAUAAAUUUUUCUUCUUCCUCGUGCUCGCAAACCCAAAAGACAUCCUCGGCCAGAGUUGAUUAGAGGUUUAUAAGAAGAACCCCACCCAAAAAUGUUUGGAAUGCACCGACUUCUAAUGACUCUGUUCAGCCCCUCUCAACCCUAAGCAGAAUUCCCGAAGCUAACACAAAUGAUCAGAUAAGGAAACCUGGCCUUUGAAGCAGUCAAGCCGGUUCUCAUUCUCACCAUAAUUCCUGGAGGUCACAGAUUGGAGGAUCUAAACAAGGUGGGACCAAUGAGAUUAGAUGACCAUUUCCUUGCUUCCUACGUUUUGAAAUUCCGGGCCACUUGCUGGAGAAGGCCUUUAAGACAGGAGAUCAGACGACAGAUCUACCGGAUCAUGAUAAAGGAAGGUAGCUCUUUGACAUGCUGUGGAGAAGAUGCGGGGAGAGAGAAAAUCGAGAUUUUCAGCCCCACCUCUAAUAAACGAACUGUGUGCGAGUAACUUGGAUGUUUAAUGCCUUGGUUAUGGUGAACUUAAAACAGCCAUAAAGAACAUCUGGGACGUCAUAGGAUUAUUGGAAGAAAGGAAUAUGCUGUGUGACUGUCACCUGGUCAAUAAUAGAAAAUACAUGCCAAACACAUGUGCUCUCUUCUACUUUGGUGACACAUUUCCACAUUGUAGAAGUCUCGUUUCUAUUUUGAUCCCAGUCUGUAUCUUUAAUUUUUUUUUUACCUAUAACAAUUUCAACUCAUAAAUCUUUGUAAAAGUUUAUGUCAGAUUUCCCUCAUGCUUAAACUCAGUGUUUGGCAAAUCUUAGCUCUUGUGCCAAAUCUAGCCUAUGGGUUGCUUUUGUUAAUAAAGUUUAAUAAGAACAGAGACCUCACUUGUUUAUAUAUUAUGUGGAGUUAUUUUGCACCAUUGUGCAGUUGACUGAUCCCAGCAAGUUACUGUACCUCUACAAGGUCUUUCCCAGAACACCAAUAACUUACAGUUUAUAUCCUCCCUUCGUGAGACUUUCAGCCUGAGCUCUGGUAGGAAGUGUGGAUGGAGCUGUCAUCCCCUAUCUGGGUUGAAAACAAAACAAAACAAAACAAAACAAAACAAAACAAAACACUGUGCAUCCUGGCCUGAUUAUUUUCAUUAUGAGAGGCCAAGAAAUCAACAUUUUUUGAUCAUAUCAAUAUCUCCAGCCUUUAUAAAAUCAAGAAUAAACACUAUUUGGAUCAAAAGAGAACUCAUGAAACAGAGAUCUCCAGAUAUUUUUCUAAACAUUUAUUUAAAAAAAAAACAGUUUGAAAAUAGUAAAUAAAAGGCUAAAUAUAAUAGUUAAAAAAAAGAAUGCAAAUAUACUAUGCUG
rnacentral:lncRNA from 1 species